GCCGCCGCCGCCGCCGCCGCCGCCGCCGCCACCUCCCCCCCACCCCCCGCGUCUCGGCCGAGACUCCGCCUCUCUCGGCCGCCGCCGCGACCGCCAGUCGGGCUAGGGGAGCACGUGACCGCGCCACGUGACCCGGCGCCUCCCCGGUCGGACCCGCGGCGGGUGGCGCUGCCCGGUGCGCGCGCGCGCGCGGGCCCGGGAGCGGGGUGCGGUCUCGAGCCUCCCACGCGCCGCUCGACUCCCCAGACUCUAGCACCUCCCGCGUCGCCCGCCUCCGCCUGGGCGCCCAGCCUGGACCACUCACCUCCUCCAGAGUCCUCACGCCCGAUCUUGUCAGCGGGGGCCGGAAGUGGACAUCACGCCUUCUCCUACCCAGACAGAGCCGCUGCAGAGCACACAGCGACUCGUACUAUGAGCAACGUGGCUCCCCUGGAAACAGUCAUUCAAGUGUCUUCGGCGGUGCUGCUGCUGUCACUAUGCUUGUAGGUAUCUCCCCUCCCUCCUGGCUGUAGCCAAAUUUAAAGCCCAAAGAAUUGGCUGAUUCAACCCUUCAGGCACCAAGGUAUUCAGCACAGGCACAUGGAACCCGGAUCCUAGACAUCGGGAGAUGGCAAAAGAGCCAGAGCUUUUGGAGAACAAGAGACAAGCCUUUGGUCUCUCGAUGUGUUCUGAGAGCCAAAAAUGUUUGUGCCAACUUAGACUUCAUUACUGGAAACACAGCAUGCCACACAAAGAAUAAAAUGCCCACUUCCCCUGGACUGCCCUGAGCCAAGCCACAUCCAUACAACACUCCUACCAAUCCUGGGUGCUACCAGUCACAUACAAAAGGAUUGAGGACUCAAAACUCCUGAAGCUGUAACAGAGAUGGACGACGGAGCUCAGGGAUGGACCAUUGCUUUGAUUCUUUUUGUACUGCUGUGAUAAAAUACUCUGAGGCAACCUACAUAACGAGGGGCUUACUUGGGCGUAUGGUUUCGGAGAGUCCUUCAGUCAGAAUCAUGGCAGCAUGGCGACUGAGAGCUCACAUCUUCAACCAUAAGCAGAUCAGCUGUGGGAAGCCAUGGAGCAGGCCUUUGCCUACAGAGCCACUGUCUAAUCUCCUGUAGAAGGCCUCUCUGCACUUCCAGUCACAACUACCAAGACCACGCCUGCAGCCAUCAAGCAAAGGAGCACUCCUGUCCCUGCCCUGGACUUGACCUAGCCCUCGGACCCAGAGUCCAUUCUCAGCUCUUCUGAGACUUCUAGCAGUGCCUGGGUGUCUAAGAGCCAGGGAACUCCACCACCCCAACCUCUUUACAGGCUCCGGGACUCCCCGAGCCAGCAAGAGCUGUACCACCUCUGACUGCACUUUCCCACCCAGAGUGGUGCCCUGGGGCCCAGCACCCGCUUGGCACAGCAUGGGACAAACAUAGUCAAACUCCCUGCCUCCCGCUUCUCCAAGCGGUGGCAGAGUGGACAUGGCUCCCGCUCAGCAGUUUUGAUAACAAAAGACUGUGCAAAUUCACAUGUCCAAAUGGUCUGGUCUCACUGGGAUGGAGAAAGACUGUUAUAUGUUCUUAGAAAUUAGGAGUUACUGAAGGUGUCCCCAAGAGCUGGGAUUGUGUGGUGUUUUCUCCUUUUGGUUCCUUUUCUUAGUCUACUACAUGGGGUGUGUACUAUGUGUCCCCUACUAAAAACAUGUUCAAUUAAUAAAUGAGGAAAAGCAAGUGGGCCUUACCUUCAUUUAACAAGAAGCACAAUGACAAGGAGUAACUAGUCUAAAGAAAAGGACACUGUGAUAGAAGCUCAGGAGCCAGAGACAGAUGGGAGCAGUACAGGCAGGUCUGCACUAAAGCAAACCAGGUGACUUCCAGAAUGAAUGUGGGAU
ensembl:lncRNA